CUUUACUUCUUUCAUUAUAGAUAUAUCCAAUGUAAUAAUUUGAGGAUUCAAGUAAAUACAAAUGCCUUUCUUUUCUUUACAUAGCAGCACAUACAGACUCAUUCCUGAUUCUGUUGUACUGAGAAGUAGGAGCCACUUCUACUGGAGCCCAUCGAGCUAGUAAAUGAAAAUGAUCUGAAAUGAUAUGUUCUUGGAAGAACUAAGUUACCUUAGAUGGGAAUUGGGUGUUAUUAAAACCUUCUGUGAUGGAAAUCUCAAUAUCCUCAAGACUAAAUGCAGGCUCAUCUGGGGAUGUAUUAUCCAAGUUCUGAUUCCUGAAAAGACUAUUACUUGUCCUCUGUUGUUGUUGAUCUAUCAUCCUCUUAAGUUGUCUGCCUUGUUCUUCAAUGCGUAAUUGCAGGCUUUUCUGAAUCUCCAAUUGUUCGUGCAGACACCUCUGGACAUCUAAUUGCAGUUGCAGUGCCUCUGUGAUUUGCAAUGUUUUCGUAUCAAUUUGGGAUACAUCAUUUACGCUAUUUCUUUUCUCAGGCUUUCCUUCUGAUGAGUCUGGCAUGUAUUUUGCAAUUCUAUAUUUCUGCAAAUGACUUUUCACAUGAAAGAUGGUCAAUCCAUCGGUGUCCACCAGCUUUAGUAUCG
rnacentral:misc_RNA from 1 species